GGAGAGGAGCACCUCAAACCAAUGUCCGAGUGCUUGACGCUCCUGAUUGAGAUCCAUCCAAUCAACAACACCAAGGUGUUAAAGGCGGUGGACUGCAGGGUCAAAGUGCAGUUCCUCCAUCCUGAAAGUGAGUGCAGAUCAGUGCACGAGAGCCACCUGCUGCUGUUGACUGAAGAUGGAUGUG